UAUGAAGCUCUUCUCGAUCUGUCUGUUCGUGGUAUUAUUACUACUUCAAGCUACGCUUGGUCUCCGAGUCGGUAAUGCCGGACUUGAAGGCCGUGAGAUUUUUGGCGGUUCGUCGCGUCAUCAGCCUCCAGGAGGUCCUCCGGGUCACGCAGGAGGCCGCCCUCCACCUCCGCCUCCACCUACCAAUGCGACAUCCAGUGGCUAGUAUUUACCGCCCGUCUCGUCUCACCGCUGCCUUUGAUUUCCAACGAAAGACCAACGGGUGCAACGCUCUCACCGGAAACUGAUUAUACUUUUUAAACGAAAAUUUUACAGCACAAACUGCAUAAAAUACGACAGCUCGCAACCGUAAUAAAGUUAAAUAUUGAA